rfam:Drosophila grimshawi strain TSC#15287-2541.00 scaffold_15110 genomic scaffold, whole genome shotgun sequence.
CUGAAAAAUUAUGAUGAUUGAUUUUGGCGGAAGAGUUCUUGAAGACUAAAUUCAUCACCCAAGACUGACUUUGAAAU